AGGGCAUACGGUGGAUGCCUAGGCGCCAGGAGCCGAAGAAGGACGCGGUAAGCUGCGAAAAGCCACGGGGAACUGCAAGCGAGUAUUGAUCCGUGGAUAUCCGAAUGGGGAAACCCGGCCAUCGUAAUGGAUGGUCAUCCGCAAGGAAGGGAACCCGGGGAACUGAAACAUCUAAGUACCCGGAGGAAAAGAAAUCAAACGAGAUGCCCACAGUAGCGGCGAGCGAAGAGGGCAGAGCCCAAACCUGUAAGCUACGGCUUAUGGGGGUUGAGGACUGACGUAAUUAAGGCCAGGCUUAGCUGAACUACCUGGGAAGGUAGGCGAUAGAAGGUAAGAGCCCUGUAAGCGAAAGGCAGAGCCUUAAGGUCAGUAUCCAGAGUACCACGGAGCACGAGGAAUUCUGUGGGAAGCAGGGGGGACCACCCUCCAAGGCUAAAGACUAACUGGCGACCGAUAGCGCAUAGUACCGUGAGGGAAAGGUGAAAAGAACCCCGGGAGGGGAGUGAAAUAGUACCUGAAACCGUAUGUCUACAAGCAGUCGGAGCGAAAGCGACGGCGUGCCUAUUGAAGAAUGAACCAACGAGUUAUCUGCACUAGCGAGGUUAAGUGGAAGACACGGAGCCGCAGCGAAAGCGAGUCUGAAAAGGGCGGAUAGUUAGUGUAGGUAGACCCGAAACCGCAGUGAUCUACCCAUGUCCAGGUUGAAGCGCAGGUAAAAAUGCGUGGAGGACCGAACCGGUGAGCGUUGAAAAGCUUUCGGAUGAGAUGUGGGUAGGGGUGAAAUUCCAAUCGAACGCGGAGAUAGCUGGUUCUCCCCGAAAUAGCUUUAGGGCUAGCCUCAGGUAGUAAGUAUAGGCGGUAGAGCACUGAUCGGGCUAGGGGCCAUAAAGGUUACCGAACCCUGUCAAACUCCGAAUGGAUAUACUGCAGAGCCUGGGAGUCAGACUACGAGUGAUAAGAUCCGUGGUCAAAAGGGAAACAGCCCAGACCACCGGCUAAGGUCCCAAAUGCCGUACUAAGUGGAAAAGGAUGUGGGGAUUCAUAAACAACCAGGAUGUUGGCUCAGAAGCAGCCACCAUUUAAAGAGUGCGUAAUAGCUCACUGGUCGAGAGUCCCUGCGCCGAAAAUUUCCGGGGCUAAAGUACGGAACCGAAGCCGUGGCUGUGUACUUAGGUACACGGGGUAGGGGAGCGUUGCCACAGGGGUGAAGCUGGUCUGGAAGGACUGGUGGACUUGUGGGAAGUGAGAAUGUUGGUAUGAGUAGCGAAAAGAAAGGUGAGAAUCCUUUCCACCGAAAGCAUAAGGAUUCCUGAGCAACGAUCGUCGUCUCAGGGUAAGUCGGGACCUAAUCCGAGGCAAAGAGCGUAGGAGAUGGACAACAGGUUGAUAUUCCUGUACCGGCAGCAAUUGUUUGAGCGAAGGAGUGACACAGAAGGGCAGGCAGGCGCGAGACUGGAUUGUCGCGUGCAAGCGUGUAGGGUAGUGUACAGGCAAAUCCGUACACUGAGAGCCUGAGGCGUUACGCGGAGCGAGCAGAGAUGCGAGCGAAGCUGCUGAUCCCACACUGUCGAGAAAAGCUUCUAGUGAGAGAGCUGCCGCCCGUACCGUAAACCGACACAGGUAUGCGGGGAGAGAAUCCUAAGGUGCGCGGGAGAACCCUCGUUAAGGAACUCGGCAAAAUGUACCCGUAACUUCGGGAUAAGGGUAGCCGUCUUGGUGAAGGAACUAGCUUCUGGAGCUGAAGGCGGUCGCAGAGAAGAGGCCCAAGCGACUGUUUACCACAAACACAGGUGCCUGCUAAAGCGAAAGCUGACGUAUAGGUGCUGACACCUGCCCAGUGCUGGAAGGUUAAGGAAGGAUGUCCGGGCAACCAAAGCAUUCGACCGAAGCCCCAGUGAACGGCGGCCGUAACUAUAACGGUCCUAAGGUAGCGAAAUUCCUUGUCGGGUAAGUUCCGACCCGCACGAAAGGUGUAACGAUUUGGGCACUGUCUCAACGAGGGACCCGGUGAAAUUGAAAUACCUGUGAAGAUGCAGGUUACCCGCGACUGGACAGAAAGACCCCAUGGAGCUUUACUGUAACCUGACAUUGGGUUUUGUUGUAUUACGUACAGGAUAGGUGGGAGGCUUGGAAGGCUGGACGCUAGUCUGGCUGGAGCCGGCGUUGGGAUACCACCCUUGAUACAACGGAAUUCUAACCGAGAGAGUAACGAAAUCCGGGACAGUGUCAGGCGGGCAGUUUGACUGGGGCGGU
rnacentral:rRNA from 1 species